UACGUAGGGUGCGAGCGUUGUCCGGAAUUAUUGGGCGUAAAGGGCGCGUAGGCGGCGAUUCAAGUCAGAUGUGAAAGGCCUGGGCUCAACCCGGGAACUGCAUUUGAUACUGGAUUGCUUGAGUCCGGGAGAGGAUGGCGGAAUUCCCAGUGUAGAGGUGAAAUUCGUAGAUAUUCGCAAGAACACCAGUGGCGAAGGCGGCUCACUGGCCCGAUACUGACGCUGAGGCACGAAAGCGUGGGGAGCAAACAGG
rnacentral:rRNA from 1 species